CUUCUCCUUCUUCACUGAAGCCUAGGGGAGCCAGUAAAGAUUAAAUGUGCUUCUCAAAGGCAGCCACUUCAUGCUGCUAUGUCGAAAGGGCCAUUAUUAUUAUUAUAUUUUAAUGGUAAAAGAGAAAAGGAGAGAGGUUGAGCGAGCGAGAGAGAAGCUAGGUGUGAUGAUGACAGACUAGCUUUUCUGAGAGGAAAAGGAAAAGGGAAGGGAGAGAAAAAGGAGAGCCUCUGAGCUCAACGGAGGAUUGUGCCUGAGAAGAACCCACAGAGUGGAUGCUGUGGGGCACCACCUCCUUGAGGACCAAGGCACUCCAGCUGCCAGGAAUUUGGCUGCUAACCUCACACAGCUGAGCCUUCCAUGAAAAUUGCUCUCUGCCAAAGAGAACUUCCUAGUCCAAGGUCAUGUCUACUCUCCAGAGAUGUGACUGGAGUGAUUUGCACCCGGAUGCCUAGACUCGCCAUCUGCUCAAAGACUGCUCAGAAAGCCCUCCCAUGCAUUCCCCUGCUGCAUACCAGCCCACUCUGCCUGCAGCUGCUGUCUGCAGGACUUCAUAUCUAUGCCACACUGUGUAAAAGCUGUGCUUCAAGAAAUCACAAAAACAUUUUCCUGCACCUACUACACAGCCUGAGUGCGGCAUAAGUUGACCUUGCUUGCUAAGAAAUGGGGCAAGAAAUGCUUUUUUGUGUGUGUCAUGUCUGUUUGUUUUUCAAUUAAGAGAGGAAAGCAUUAGGCAGAUGGAAUGUACAUGUGAGGAUGAGGAGACAGAAAACAAGUAGCCCUUUCCAUCAAGAUAGAGGGUUUUCUGGGGUUGCUGGCUAUUGAAUGUCACUCCUGAUUUCUCUUUCCAAGGCACUGUACCACCAGCCUACUGAGAUUGUGUGGGAGCUUUCAUGGGGGUUGUAUUUCACUGAUGAAAAUAAAUUUUUUGCAUAAUGUGAA
rnacentral:lncRNA from 1 species